GACGAACGCUGGCGGCGUGCUUAACACAUGCAAGUCGAACGGAAAGGCCCUGCUUUUGUGGGUUUCUCGAGUGGCGAACGGGUGAGUAACACGUGAGUAACCUGCCCUUGACUUUGGGAUAACUUCAGGAAACUGGGGCUAAUACCGGAUAGGAGCUCCUGCUGCAUGGUGGGGGUUGGAAAGUUUCGGCGGUUGGGGAUGGACUCGCGGCUUAUCAGCUUGUUGGUGUGGUAGUGGCUGACCAAGGCUUUGACGGGUAGCCGGCCUGAGAGGGUGACCGGGGACAUUGGGCCUGAGAUACGGCGCAGACUCCUACGGGAGGCAGUAGUGGGGAAUAUUACACAAUGGGCGGAAGCCUGAUGCAGCAACGCCGCGUGCGGGAUGACGGCCUUCGAGUUGUAAACCGCUUUCGACUGUGACGAAGAGUGCGUGACGGUAAUGGGUAAAGAAGCACCGGCUAACUACGUG
rnacentral:rRNA from 1 species